rnacentral:rRNA from 1 species
CUCAAUGCUUCUCCAGGGCCAGAUGGCUUCAAUGUGGAAUUUUAUUUAGCUACUUGGGAUUGGAUUGGAGAUGAGGUAACUCAGCUUGUGUCUAAUUUUUAUUCUACUGCCACUCUUCCUUCUCAUAUUAAUGACACCAAUAUUGCUCUCAUCCCUAAAAAGUUGGUUCCUCUUGUGCCCAUGGAUUAUAGGCCUAUUAGUCUUUGUAAUGUGCUCUAUAAAAUCAUUGCUAAAUCUUUGGCUAAUCGGCUCAAACCUCACCUUCCAGAUUUUAUUGACCCUACUCAACAAGCUUUUAUUGAGGGUAGAAGGAUUAGUGACAAUAUUAUUAUUGCUCAAGAGAUUGCUCACUCUUUUUCUCUCAAAUCUUGGAAAUAG